rnacentral:rRNA from 1 species
UUGACCUCAAUCAGGUAGGACUACCCGCUGAACUUAAGCAUAUCAAUAAGCGGAGGAAAAGAACUAACAAGGAUCCCCUAGUACUGCGAGUGAGCGGAAAGCUCAAUUAAAUCUGGCGGCYCGC